rnacentral:rRNA from 1 species
GUCCACGCUGUAAACGAUGAUCACUAGACGUCAGAUCUGUUUUUACAGAAUUGGUGUCGUAGCUAACGCGAUAAGUGAUCCGCCUGGGGACUACGGUCGCAAGAUUAAAACUCAAAGGAAUUUACGGGGGUCCGCACAAGCGGUGGAACAUGUGGUUUAAUUCGACAAUACGCGAGAAACCUUACCUAGGCUUGACAUGCUUUUGACACCCAUAGAAAUAUGGUCUUCCGGGUUUUUAAUUCGGACAAUUGCACAGGUGCUGCAUGGUUGUCGU